CGGGGUGGAGCAGUCUGGUAGCUCGUCGGGCUCAUAACCCGAAGGUCGUCGGUUCAAAUCCGGCCCAA
rnacentral:tRNA from 1 species